rnacentral:lncRNA from 1 species
UGUGUGUGUGUGUGUGUGUGUGUGUGCAGAUUUCUAUGAUGUCAGCUCUCCAAACAUAGCCAAUUUGGCACUACUAACAUGAAGUCAGCUGCUUGCAAAAGUCAUGACAAUAUGUAACAAUCAGCUCUCACUGGCCAGCACCAGCUGGCUCUAGCACAUCACUGGAAUGGUUCACUAAUUUCAAUAAGUCAAACCUGUCAGAUCUAUCUCAAAUUAAGUUAUGUCAUGAUGCCCUAAGCCUCAGCUGACAUUUUCAGUGGUGAUUUCAAAGUUCUGAUCCACUACCAAGGGCUUAUCUGAGGGACAGCUGUCCCUGAGAAAAGGAAAUCAGAUAUCUUCUUUAAAAAUUCUCUCCCUCAUAUCCAAUUUAAAAUACUUAAUUGUAUUCUUCAACUUUUUUCCAGAAAUAAUCACUUCCAUCAAGGAUAACUCUAGGAUUGCUCUCAGUCAAAACCAACCAACCAAGAAGGGGAAGUUAUGUCAUGAACAGUCCCAUAGAAAGACCCAUGCGGCAAAGAACUAAAACCUCCUGCCAAUAGCCACAUGAAUUUAACAAGAGAUCCUCCAGCCCCAGCUGAAUCUCCAGAGAUGGCAGCAUCAGCUGGGCAGCAUGACCUCAACUUUAUGAGAAACUGAGCCAGAAUCGCCCAGCAAAGCCACUCCAGGAUCCCUGACCCUCAGCAAAUGGAAUCUCGCUCUGUUGCCCAGGCUGGAGUGC